GGUCCUAUAGCUCAGUUGGUUAGAGCAUCCGGCUAAUAACCGGAAGGUCGCCGGUUCGAUCCCGGUUGGGACCA
rfam:Toxoplasma gondii VEG unplaced genomic scaffold scaffold00009, whole genome shotgun sequence.